rnacentral:piRNA from 1 species
UAGGUUGCAAUGUUGGGUUUCUGCUCGG